rnacentral:lncRNA from 1 species
AGGUUGCAGUGAGCCGAGAUUGUGCCACUGCAUUCCGGCCUGGUGACAGAGUGAGACUUCGUCUCAAAAAAAAAAAAAAAGACAAAAAAAAAAGAAAUUGAGACCCCGGCCUGGGAUGAUGGCUCACGCCUAUAAUCUCAGCACUUUGGGAGGCUGAGGCAAGAGGAUUGCUUGAGCCCGGGAGGUAGAGGCUGCAUUCAGCAGUGAGGGCAUCACUGCACUCCAGCCUGGGUGACAUAGUGAGACCCUGUCUCAAAAAAAAAAAAAAAAAAAGGCAAGAAAGAAAGGAAUCGUGAUCCACAGCUGCUGCAAUGAUUCAAUUAGUGUAAGACCACCUCCUCUUCCUUCAUCAUUCCCUCCAGCUAAGAUGAGGGUGGAGCCAGUAGCUGGGAAGUUGGCUUGCCAGUAGGUCAUCUGGAGAAGUAAUCCUGCCAGUAAGUCUUGAAGUUGCAUGCAUUCUCUUUUUAAAAAACUUUUUUAAAUGUCCGACAGAUAGACUGAUGGUCAGCACAGUGCUGCCACACAGCAGGCAAUAUAUAUUUAAUCAAUGUCUAAGGAGAGAAUAAUUGAAUGCCCGAAUUGGACCUUUGCCACCUGUCUGUUGAUGCUUGUCAUUUCCAGCUGUCAGCUCAAAUAUCACUUUCCUAACCCUGCCACACUAGGUUAGCUCCCCGUUUUUAUGGCCUUGGAACUCCCUAUACUUUUUUCCCACAGCACCGGUUAUAAUUUAUACUUAUUUUGUGCAACUAUUGAAUGCCUGUCUUCAAAGCUGGGAUGGCCGGGAUCUUUGUUUUAACCACGAUUGUAGUUCUAGAGGCUGGCACAGCACUUGCCAAUGAUAAAUAGGUAUUAGAUUGAACUGGAUGAGUGAAUGACUGACCAUUUGUUGAAUGUAAAUGAUGCAAGUCACCUUAUGUUCUCAUAUAUGUGUGUGUAUACACAUAUGUAUAUCUGUGUGUAUAUAUGUAUAUAUGUGUGUAUAUAAGUGUGUGUAUAUGUGUGCAUGUAUACAUGUGUAUAUAUAUGUGUCUAUACAUGUUCAAGGGCAUAUAUUAGUAUUUUAACUUAUUAUUGGAUACUAAUAUAUGUCCUUGAACAUGUACAUAUAGACACACACACACACAUAUGUGCCAUUUUUUUUUUUUCUUUUUGAGAUGGAGUUUCGCUCUUGUAACCCAGGCUGGAGUGCAGUGGCACAGUGGCUCAUGCCUGUAAUCUCAGCACUUUGGGAGGCCAAGGCAGGCAGAUCACUUGAAGUCAGGAGUUAAAGACCAGCCGGGCCAACAUGGUGAAACCCCAUCUCUACUAAAAUUACAAAAAUUAGCCAGGCGGUAGUGUUGCGCACCUGUAAUCCCAGCUACUCAAGAGGCUCAGGCAGGAGAAUCGCUUGAGCCUGGGAGGUGGAGUUGCAGUGAGCCGAGAUCACGCCACUGCACUCCAGCCUGGGUGAUAGAGCGAAACUGUCUCAAAAUAAAAAAUAAAAAAGAAAGCAAUAGAACUCAGACUUCAAUGAAAGGCUUAUAUCUAAUUAUGAGUCCAGUGCUGCUUCCACUUUGCAGUUGGUAGAGGAGACAGAAUCUUUGAGUAUUUUUUCUAAGACUGAUAGGUUUGACGCUCAGGCAAAGUCUAGAGUAAAAUUAACAUUAAACAUGGAAUGAAAGCAAAGCAAAUGAUUUGAAUCAUGUGAUAACCCAGUGUCCAAACAGUGCUCAAUACACUCUGCCAUUUUUGAAUGAUAGUAAACUAAUCCGAUUGCAUUGCCUCAUUUGAGAAAACUAAAGCUAAGUUUAAAAAAACAAAAAAGUGAGCCAAGACCACAUCUGGCAAGAUCACAUUUAUAUGCAAUGGCCAGAAUAGGCAAUAGGCAAAUCCAUACAGACAAUGCAGAUUAGUACAGUUUCCUGAUACUGGGGGAGGGGAGGGGAAGAUUGGUGCACAUCUCUGUGAAUGUACUAAAAAACCACUGAAUUCUACAGUUUAUAUAAGUGAAUUAUAUGGUAUGCGAAUAUGUCUCCAUAAAGCUGGUACCAAAAGAAAGUGAACUAAUAGUUACAGUUUGAAAGGUUUCACAUAUAAAUUUGGAUGCCUUGCUAUUUGGGGAAAAUAAAUGUGAGCUCUGGCAAUGCUGGACUUGUGAUUACCUGUUACAUUAGUAUGAUCCCAUCACUUUGAACCAUGCCCCAUAGUAUUCAAGCCUUUAUGUAUUCCUCAGAGAUCACACCACAGGGCCUGUCCUGUGACCUGUUUUGACCAAGAGAAUACAUCAAAAGUGUCUCUGGGCCUGGUCUGGGCACAGGCUUAAAGUCUGACACCUUCCACUUUCAUGACUGGGGUGUCCGGAGCCAUCAUAUUAGACGUCCACCUGCCUUCCAUCAUAUGUUGAGGAGGAGUCUGCAACUAUGUGGAGAGGGGAUUCUCAGCAUUCCAGAUGACCUGCCUACUGAAUGCAGCCAUGUGAAGACCAGCAGAAGAACCACACAGCUGAGCCUCAACCCAGAUAGCAGAAUUGUAAACAAAUAACAUGGUUGUUCUUUUAAGCCACUAAAUUCUGGGGCAGUUUAUUAUGUAGCAACAGGUAAUGGAAACACAUUUGCUUCCCCCUGUAGCCACAAUCUGCUGACACUCAGCAGCAGCCACUGUCUUUAGAUGGCAGACACUUUCUAGCUUUCCUAAACCCUCCCCACUCACUAUUGUCUUAUUUUUGUUAUCAUAGAGAAAAUUCUCCAUAUCUGCAUAGUCCAGCGCAGGAGCCACUAGCUAUGUGUGGCUAUUGAAACUAGUUAAAAUUAAAUAAAAUGAAAAAUUCUGUUCCUCAGUUACACUAGCCAUAUUGCAAGUGGUUUGUGGCUAGUGGCUACCGUAUUGGACAGCAUAGUCUAUUUCACACCAUCAUUGCAGUAACUUCUAUCAGCAACCCCAUUCUUUUUUUUUUUUUUUUUUUUUUUGAGACGGAGUCUUGCUCUGUUGCCCAGGCUAAAGUGCGAUAGUGCCAUCUCGGCUCACCAUUAC